rfam:Ictidomys tridecemlineatus contig010943, whole genome shotgun sequence.
GGGGUUGUGGCUCAGUGGUAGAGCACUUGCCUGGCAUGUGUGAGGCACUGGGUUCAAUUCUCAGCACCA